UUGUAGUCAUAUGCUUGUCUCAAAGAUUAAGCCAUGCAUGUCUAAGUAUAAGCAAUCUAUACUGUGAAACUGCGAAUGGCUCAUUAAAUCAGUUAUCGUUUAUUUGAUAGUACCUUACUACAUGGAUACCUGUGGUAAUUCUAGAGCUAAUACAUGCUAAAAACCCCGACUUCGGGAGGGGUGUAUUUAUUAGAUAAAAAACCAAUGCCCCUCGGGGCUCCUUGGUGAUUCAUAAUAACUUAACGAAUCGCAUGGCCUUGCGCCGGCGAUGGUUCAUUCAAAUUUCUGCCCUAUCAACUUUCGAUGGUAGGAUAGUGGCCUACCAUGGUGGCAACGGGUAACGGGGAAUGGGGCGGGGGCGGCGGGCCGGGCGCGGGGCGCGGCGGGCGGC
rnacentral:rRNA from 1 species